rnacentral:rRNA from 1 species
GUUAUAGGGACAAGUGAAUAAGUGCACAUGGUGGAUGCCUUGGCGAUUACAGGCGAUGAAGGACGUAGUAGCUUGCGAUAAGCUGCGGGGAGCUAGCAAACGAGCUUUGAUCCGCAGAUUUCCGAAUGGGGAAACCCGGCCUUUUAGGUCAUUGCAUGCUGAAUACAUAGGCAUGCAAAGCGAACGCGGCGAACUGAAACAUCUAAGUAGCUGCAGGAAAAGAAAUCAACCGAGAUUCCCCCAGUAGCGGCGAGCGAACGGGGAGCAGCCCAGAGUCUGAAUCAGCUUGUGUGUUAGUGGAACGGUCUGGAAAGUCCGACGGUACAGGGUGAUAGUCCCGUACACCAAAAUGCACAGGCUGUGAACUCGAAGAGUAGGGCGGGACACGUGGUAUCCUGUCUGAAUAUGGGGGGACCAUCCUCCAAGGCUAAAUACUCCUGACUGACCGAUAGUGAACCAGUACCGUGAGGGAA